rnacentral:lncRNA from 1 species
GAGCAUUGGGCCGUGCCGUGCCUAGUGUCAUGGCCCAGUCCAGAACACAUAUCAUUCAAAAGAAAAAACAAAAUCUCAUACCAUAUUUCUUCCACUGUCUAGAAAAGAUGACGAUUAUUUGCCGAUAAUAUCUCACACGAGCCAAACACCAGAAAAUCAUGGCAAAAAUCGAGCAAGAGAAUGUCACCUACAAGGAAAGCUUAAACCAAUUUUUC